CCCUUAGAUGUUCUGGGCCGCACGCGCGCUACACUGAUGCAUUCAACAAGCCUAGCCUUGACCGAGAGGUCCGGGUAAUCUUUGAAACUGCAUCGUGAUGGGGCUAGAUUAUUGCAAUUAUUAAUCUUCAACGAGGAAUGCCUAGUAAGCGUGAUUCAUCAAAUCGCGUUGAUUACGUCCCUGCCCUUUGUACACACCGCCCGUCGCUCCUACCGAUUGAAUGUGUUGGUGAGGAGCUCGGAUUGGCAGCAGUUGGUGGUUCGCCACCGGCUAUUACUGAGAAGUCCUCCAAACCGCCCCAUUUAGAGGAAGGAGAAGUCGUAACA
rnacentral:rRNA from 1 species